UACAGAGGUCUCAAGCGUUGUUCGGAUUCAUUGGGCGUAAAGGGUGCGUAGGUGGCGUCGUAAGUCGGGUGUGAAAUUUCGGAGCUUAACUCCGAAACUGCAUUCGAUACUGCGGUGCUUGAGGACUGGAGAGGAGACUGGAAUUUACGGUGUAGCAGUGAAAUGCGUAGAGAUCGUAAGGAAGACCAGUGGCGAAGGCGGGUCUCUGGACAGUUCCUGACAUUGAGGCACGAAGGCCAGGGGAGCAAACGGG
rnacentral:rRNA from 1 species